rnacentral:rRNA from 1 species
GACGAACGCUGGCGGCGUGCUUAACACAUGCAAGUCGAACGGAAAGGCCCUGCUUUUGUGGGGUGCUCGAGUGGCGAACGGGUGAGUAACACGUGAGUAACCUGCCCUUGACUUUGGUAUAACUUCAGGAAACUGGGGCUAAUACCGGAUCGGAUCUCCUGCUGCAUGGUGGGGGUUGGAUAGUUUAGGCGGUUGGGGUUGGACUCGCGGCUUAUCAGCUUGUUGGUGGGGUAGUGGCUUACCCAGGCUUUGACGGGUAGCCGGCCUGAGAGGGUGACCGGCCACAAUGGGACUGAGAUACGGACCAGACGCAUACGGGAGGCAGCAGUGGGGAAUAUUGCACAAUGGGCGGAAGCCGGAUGCAGCGACGCCGCGUGCGGGAUGACGGCCUUCGGGUUGUAAACCGCUUUCGCCUGUGACGAAGCGGGAGUGACGGUAAUGGGUAAAGAAGCACCGGCUAACUACGUG